rnacentral:lncRNA from 1 species
CAAAUAAGGAGAAGGUGCCCCCACGAUUCCUCCGCGCCGGGGCAGAGGCCCAAAGUCCCCCCAAACCAGCAGAAUCGGGGCUUUUGUAGACCUUUUUGCUUAUUUUCAUUGUUUUCCGAAGUUUUCUUAGGGAAAACCCCGUCCUUGCUAUGGGCUGGAGGAGCCGGUGGUGUCCCCGUCCUGGGCCCACCGCAGGAGGCGUGGCCGGAGCAGCUUCCUUCACUGCCUCCAAAAUCCCCCAUCUUCCAACAGACCCAUGUGGACAUCAUAAAAACGUCACCCAAGGAUGUUAUGGCCCAAAUCCUCAGCCCAUUUUAGAAAUAAACCCUGGCCUCUGUUCACAGCAGUUUUUGCUGUGAAAAGACUAAUUUCUCAUUUAAAAUCAGGAAGGACAGUUGUGUCUGCAAUUCUGAUUUCCUCCACAGCAGAAUGACUUUGUUUGGAUCAAACCUGGAUGUCUGCUGAAUACAAAGCACCUUUAUUAGAAAGAUUUCAAGGCUUCACUGAGAGAUUUUGAAAUGGUGACUCCCACGCUCCUGAGGAAAUUUUUGCUACCUUCCAUCCACAAACAGACAUUGCGUUCCCAUUUGCAAUGAGGCAGCAGGCUGCUCACUUCUAUCUGGUGGAUGUCAUCACACCUGUGUUUGCCUUAUUAAGCUUCAAUCCUCAGCUCUCAGGUGUCUCAAUGUCUGCAGAAAGUACCAGGAGCUCACAUGGCUUCCAAAAACUCCCAAAACUGGGGAAUGAAAAUGAAGCAACUUGUAAAAACUUCUUGAAUGAGCAAAUAUCAACAAGUUAGACUCAUUUAGACAAGGGGUAGGGAUAAAUGGGAUAUUGAGAAGAAAUUCUUCCCUGUGAGGCUGUUGAGGCCCUGGAACAGGUUACCCAGAGAACAUGUGGCUGCCCCAUUCCUGGAAGUGUCCAAGGCCAUGCUGAAUGAGACUUGGAGCAAACUGGGAUAGUGGAAGGUGUCCCCACCCAUGGCAGGGGGUGGCUCAAGAAGAGCUUUAAGAUCCUUUCCAAGCUAAACCAUUCCAUGAUGCUAUGAUUCUGUCUCAGGUUGGUGCUGGAUCAUUUCUAGAGACAUUCAAAGUGCUGUAGUCAAAUAUUUCCCUAAGUACUCACACCAAACUUCCAACUCUUAGGUCUUCCUGAUUAUUUUGAAAACUAAUUAUUUUGAUUAUUUUGAAAUCUAAGAAAAAAUAUCAGCUCCUGUCAGAGAAGGGGUAGAGGAGUCUUGUUUUUAAACAAAGACCAGGAGGUUGUGAAAACACUUUGUUUUCCUCUAGACCAAAAUAUUUUCUGCUUGCUUCAGAAGGAUCUACUUAAAAAGAAAGUCUUUAAAAAUUUUCUUUUCUAGCUGAAAAGAGGUGUCAGGAAAUAAAGCAGCUUCUGCAUUUGCA